UCUUAGCACCUAAUCCAUCAAUCAAUACCGUUUUUUGCCUCCGAUAAGAUCCAUUAAUGACUAUUAAAGAGAGUAAUGACAAUUUAGCUACAGCACUUUUAUUAUUAUUAAUGACAACUUAGCAUACGGCGCUAAGGCCAUAUCAGACACACAUACAGACCAAAAACAUCUCUCUUAAUCAUCUCCAAUAAUAAUACCAUAAAAACGUAUCAUACGGCUGCAGAUUUGACUUUGACCCCAUCUCGACCUUUAAGUUCAACGAGAUCCAAUGGACAAUAGUUUCUGAUGGCCGUUAACUCAUACGGUGGCGCAUCACGGGCCAGCCACUGCUCGACAGUGAACUGCUGCUGCGAGCACGGCGUGUGGACACCAGUGAUGGUUACCUCAACGUAGUUACAGUACCAACCAUGAUGUGGUCCGCUUCCAUCAGAGGUCAAGUUCAAGGCGCAGACCGGAGUGCUCAGGCAAGGUCCCCUCCCGCUGAAAAUGUCGAGAUUGCCCCUCUCGAAGUAGUUGUAGUUAAGGCCCAUCAGGCCGCCCCAGGACUCCAGGUUCGGGAUCUCCACCCCCUCGCCGUAGGCGUCGUAGAACCUGACGCUAAUGAUGGAGUCCGUUCCUCCCUUGAAGAUCGACCCGGUCCUUAUGUACACCGUAUACACGCAAUCUUCAUCGGCAAAAACGGCGACUGUGGAGACGGCGAGGACGAGGAGGAGAAAAGAGAGACAGCGAGUGUUGAAUGCCAUGUUUGGCUGUGGAAAUGCGAAACUGGGGGUAGACUGCGAGGAGAGAGACUGAAA
rnacentral:misc_RNA from 1 species